CCAAGGCCAAGGCCAAAAGGCCAAGGCGUCCGAUCGCGACCCCAG
rnacentral:rRNA from 1 species